rnacentral:rRNA from 1 species
UGGGGAAUUUUGCACAAUGGGCGAAAGCCUGAUGCAGCAACGCCGUGUGUGUGAUGAAGGUCUUCGGAUUGUAAAGCACUUUCGACCGGGACGAAAAACCCUGAGCUAACAUCUCAGGGCCUGACGGUACCGGGAGAAGAAGCACCGGCUAACUCUGUGCCAGCAGCCGCGGUAAUAAUCGAAUU